GCGCAUGGAUUCGGGCGCGCUUAGCCUGACGUCGUACAACUGCUUCCUUUGAACUUUCUCUUUCUUUCUUGCUGUUGGCUUCACUUCAAAGACUAGUCUAAUUGGUGGUGACUUUUAGCUUGUGCCAGCAUCAAAUUUUCACCCUCCAUUCCUCCCAUCUUAUCUUGCUAAUGGUACUAGGGAACAUUUAGCUCUAUCGCUCCUAACUGGUCACUUGCUUCGCUAGUUGCGGCUCUUCACGAGCCAGUUGUUGCCAAGUGCAUUGGCUUUGCCUUGCAACCCUAUUGUGGCACAAUGUGGGUUUAUUGCGGCUCCUCGCGAGCCAGUUGCUGCCAGUGGCCUGGCAUUGCUUUCCAGCUCUUCGAGCUUUUGCAUUACAAGACCAGUUACUCGAAGCAGCACACUAUCUCCAAAACAAUUCCUUGUUGCCUUGGGUUGAGUAUGAGUGUGUGAGGGAUAUGGUGCUAAUUAGCGUUAAUACGAUAUGUGAACCAACCCUAACUGGCAAACAUUAUGUGUAUGAGUGUACAGUGUAUGGAUGAACUCUACUGGCAAUUGAUUCGUAUUUGGCUGUUUCGUACAUAUUUUGUAUGCAGUACAAUAGAUAGCUUCAGAAAUUUGCAAUUUAUAUCAUGGCUGUGUAAAUUCAUGAACGCUGUGCUCAUUCAGCCAAAAAUUACAAUAUUCUGUGUGUCUUGGUACCCUACACAUGCUGUCUCAGGUGAUGGAAGAAAUGAAAUCCCUGAAGAUCAAUGGUCGGCCCUACCAUCGACAAAGCCAGGGCAGGGUUGAACGCUUCAACCAGACUCUCGCUAACGUCUUGCGUCCCGAUCUGCAAACCGACAAGGACUGGCCUAGCAGGUUAGAGUUCUUCUACUACACGUACAACUCAUGGUCAAGCAAGGCACUGAAGGGACAGACACCCUUCGAAGUUUUCUUCAGGCGCCCUAACUUUUCAGUUUUCACUUUAUGCUGCAGCAAGCCGAAAUGACCUAACUGCUGACGAACGAGAGUUCCUCGACACAGUACACAUAGAUGUCAGUGAUGCUGAGGAUGACAAUGGUGACCAGGACGUGUCUGAGGAUGCUGGUACUGAACCAGCUCUUGACAUGGGCGACAGCAGUCAUGAAGGCUAUGGGAAUUAUGAAGGCUAUGAGGCUGAAGCAUUUGACAUUGGUGAAGUGCCUGCUGCUGUCCACGAGAUUAGCAUUCCUUCUUCCACAAGUCCUGGUCUUCCUGACGUUGUGCUCUCCUUCGGACCAAGUGACAUCAGACGUGCGGUGUCUACGCAUGGCAGUAG